GCGUCCGUAUAUGGAUGCCACCCCCGCACUCCGAAGGCAGAGGUCACAGGUUCGAAUCCUGUCGGGUGCGCCA
rnacentral:tRNA from 1 species